rnacentral:rRNA from 1 species
UACGUAGGGUGCAAGCGUUAUCCGGAAUUAUUGGGCGUAAAGAGCUCGUAGGCGGUUUGUCGCGUCGACUGUGAAAACCCGAGGCUUAACCUCGGGCCUGCAGUCGAUACGGGCAGACUAGAGUUCGGUAGGGGAGACUGGAAUUCCUGGUGUAGCGGUGAAAUGCGCAGAUAUCAGGAGGAACACCGGUGGCGAAGGCGGGUCUCUGGGCCGAUACUGACGCUGAGGAGCGAAAGCGUGGGGAGCGAACAGG